GCUUAGUUCGCUUCAACAGCACGAGCUUCCGUAGGACAGACGCUGCGCAUGCUCAGAAGCUAAUUCCUUAAAGGAGAAUUGUGGGGGAAAAGGGCGCGAGGUUGAAGCAAAGGUUAUACGCAUCAUUUCUGUCCCUGCAGCAACUAGAUUAACACUCUUCCCACCUGAAGAAGUUCUGCAAAGGAAAGGAGGAGCUACUGGGCAAAAAAAUCAGGAAUACAUUUGCAGAUGUGCACAAGAAAGGUGCCAUAAAAAGCAGAAGAGUGUGUAUACUGAAGGCACUAAUUGUGUUUACCUGACUGAAGACCCAGAAGACACUUGAUGUUGAGGACAAGCAGGAGAUGGAGCAGAAGAUUCUGGGAGUUUUUGCUGUGAAGCAGGAAGGUGCAGAACCUGCAGAUGACCUGGAAGAUGCCGAUCAUCUAAGGCGUGGAAUUACUUUUUAUUUGGCCUCUGCUGGUUAGAUGAGAUGGCAUUCCUAGAAGUAGUAAAGACACCAAAGCAUUCCCAGCUUCCAAAAGAGUUCCACAGUAACAACUGUUUCUGUAGCAGGGUGUCU